rnacentral:rRNA from 1 species
AUUGAACGCUGGCGGCAGGCCUAACACAUGCAAGUCGAGCGGAGCGGCGGACGGGUGAGUAAUGCCUAGGAAUCUGCCUGGUAGUUGGGGAGAACGUACGGAAACGGGCGCUAAUACCGCAUACUAUCAGAUGAGCCAAGGCGGGCUUGGCUAGUUGGUGGGGUAAAGGCCUACCAAGGCGACGAUCCGUAACUGGUCUGAGAGGAUGCUCAGUCACAAGGGAACUGAUACACGGUCCAGACUCGUACGGGAGGAAGCAGUGGGGAAUAUUGGACAAUGGGCGAAAGCCUGAUGCAGCCCUGCCGGGGGUGUGAGGAAGGUCUUCGGAUUGUAAAGCCUUUUAAGUUGGGAGACGUUACCAACAGAAUAAGCACCGGCUAACUACGUGCCAGCCGCCGCGGUAAUUC